UGCCUACGGGAGGCAGCAGUGAGGAAUAUUGGUCAAUGGGCGCGAGCCUGAACCAGCCAAGUCGCGUGAGGGAUAACGGCCCUACGGGUUGUAAACCUCUUUUGUCGGGGAGCAAAUUCCGCCACGUGUGGCGGAGUCGAGAGUACCCGAAGAAAAAGCAUCGGCUAACUCCGUGCCAGCAGCCGCGGUAAUACGGAGGAUGCGAGCGUUAUCCGGAUUUAUUAGGUUUAAAGGGUGCGUAGACGGACUGUCAAGUAAGCGGUAAAAUACGGAGGCUCAACAGCCGCCCGACGUUGAAACUGACG
rnacentral:rRNA from 1 species